GGCGACUGGACCCGCUGUCUGGAAAUGUUAUCGUGAAACUUUUUGAGAGUUACUUCGAGGAAGCACUACUCUGACGGGGUAUGAAUGGUACGUGACGAGCUUUGUUCCUGUUUUUUUCCUUCGUGUGAUGAUAGGCGUAUCCUUGUGGAAACUAUCUAUCCAUCUGACGUUGCGGAUUCCUCGACUGGACUAGAUUCGGCGGUUCGAGCAGAAGCUUUAUAUGCGUUACAGCAGCUAAAGAGAAGUCGGGAUUCAACGUUAAGCAUUUUGUACAGAUACUCGGGGUUUUACCGCCUUCAUGCCAUUUCACGAACAUCUAGAGGAUCGGCUACAUGAACUCACUGCUUCAGACGCUUAAGGUAAUUACUUUUAUCUCUUAUCCUUUUGUUGGUUUUUCCACAGUUGUGAUUCAGGCAGUGUACCAUAUGCCUACGACCAAGAAUGCUGUUCCCAUUCACUGGCCUUGCAGAGCCUCUUUGGCAAGCUGCAAUAUAGUGGUGCUGUAGGAAAACUUU
rnacentral:lncRNA from 1 species